CUACCAUCUUCCCUCAGACCUAGAGGGGGAUAGCCCAGGACCCUGCAGCCAAAGACCCUGGGAAUAACUGUGGUCUCCUCCUGCUUCCCCAGCUGGAGACUACUAGCCUUGGUGGCCAAUAUCUAGAGAAUCAACCCCAUGAGAUGUGGCCUAGCAAGAAUCUCUGCAGGUCUAUAUCUCCAGCCUGGCAACAUAAGAGUCUCCGUUCCCAAAGAAAGCCCAAUACUGAAUGUCACCAAGAGAAUGAUAAUCACCAAAGCAUCCAGGACAAAGGCAUGAAAAAGAAGGCAAUUAAAAGAAUUCCGCACCCACACAGUUAUUCCAGAGCUUACGAAGGUUCGACUUGAAAAGGAGGCAGCUGGCGCAGCAGAAAGAGAUGGGGCUCUUUGGGUUGGCCGAGCAUGAGGUAGGUUAUCUGCCGAAUAUAUGGCACCAAGCAAAAUGCAGACUUGGAAAAUGAAUUAGCAGUCAGAAAGCUGAGGACUUGAGGUUCAGUCUAGAGACUUGUUCCUGCCCUGAAGUAUCAUUCCAAGGCCUGAUGUUUAUUCAAGAAACCAGAAGCUGCUCCUUGGGGAAACUUAGAUGUGAAGCCAGCAUUCAUGAUGAAUUGCAUUUUUGACCCAUUGUAACAUUUAAUAUUUUUCACAUGUUAUUAACACACUGCUCUGUAACCUCUACAGUGGAGUUAGCUCUUUUCUUGCGCUUUGAACUCAACACAUAGAAAAGGUAGCCUUUUAGUUGCAUAAGUAAACAUAGUUUCCAUUUGCUUUUGUUAUCCUACUGUUUUGAAAGGCAAUAAAAACAGCUUAGCACAGACA
rnacentral:lncRNA from 1 species